rnacentral:rRNA from 1 species
GACGAAGGACCCAAGCGUUAUCCGGAUUCAUUGGGUUUAAAGGGUGCGUAGGCGGCCCGGUAAGUCAGUGGUGAAAGCCUCCAGCUCAACUGGAGAACUGCCAUUGAUACUGCCGGGCUUGAGUACAGACGAGGUUGGCGGAAUUGAUUGUGUAGCGGUGAAAUGCAUAGAUACAAUCAAGAACUCCGAUUGCGUAGGCAGCUAACUAGGCUGUAACUGACGCUGAGGCACGAAAGCGUGGGGAGCGAACAGG